rnacentral:tRNA from 1 species
GCCUGGGUGGCUCAGUCAGUUAAGUGUCUGACUUCAGUUCAGUUCAGUUCUGAUCUCCCUGUUCGUGGAUUUAAGCCCCACCUCGGGCU